GACGAACGCUGGCGGCGUGCCUAAUACAUGCAAGUAGAACGCUGAAGGAGGAGCUUGCUUCUCUGGAUGAGUUGCGAACGGGUGAGUAACGCGUAGGUAACCUGCCUGGUAGCGGGGGAUAACUAUUGGAAACGAUAGCUAAUACCGCAUAACAGUAGAUAUCGCAUGAUAUCUACUUGAAAGGUGCAAUUGCAUCACUACCAGAUGGACCUGCGUUGUAUUAGCUAGUUGGUGAGGUAACGGCUCACCAAGGCGACGAUACAUAGCCGACCUGAGAGGGUGAUCGGCCACACUGGGACUGAGACACGGCCCAGACUCCUACGGGAGGCAGCAGUAGGGAAUCUUCGGCAAUGGACGGAAGUCUGACCGAGCAACGCCGCGUGAGUGAAGAAGGUUUUCGGAUCGUAAAGCUCUGUUGUAAGAGAAGAACGAGUGUGAGAGUGGAAAGUUCACACUGUGACGGUAGCUUAACAGAAAGGGACGGCUAACUACGUG
rnacentral:rRNA from 1 species